UUAAAUUGUUUCGCAAUAAUGUGAAAAAGCAGACAUGGACAUGCACAAGACAUAGGGCUUAACCUUAUAUUGGAUUUAAUAUUUAAGGUAUAUUAGCAGAAACCCAUUGAUAUGCUGCCUUAUGAUUGAGUUUAAAGAAUGGGAAUCAAAUCAAACACAACUGGAUUAUUUCGGGACAUGUACUUUUUUAAAUACCAGCAGAGAUAUUCACGGCAGACUGCAUAAUUCCAGGUCAGGUAUUUGAGUACUACAGAAGACAAAAUAAAUCAGAGUGCAAAAGGAAUAAUACAGAGCUAGGAAUAAUAGGAAUUAUUGACAACAUCCGGUCUAGAAAAUGCAUCGGAAUGGAGAUGGGGAAAAUGCAUUCUACCAUUUGAUAGCCCAGAAUGAAUAACUUUAAGAAAAGGCAGUGAAAUAACUUUCAUGAAGAUAUGCUAAACUUGAUAAAGGAUUUAACAUAAGAAGGAGUCAGAAAUAGUGACAGAACAAAGUGUAGCAGAAAACAAAAGGAACACUCUUUUGAAUAAAAACCAUGUUGGAAUACAGAACUAGAAAAAUAGCUGUAUAAAAUGAAUUAUCAAUGCCUUCAUACAGAGAUUGGAUAUUGCAACAAAAACUGUAAUGAUAUUAUACAAAUGGGAUAAAUGAAUUAUCAUGAAUAGACUUUAUAAUUUUCUUUCUAGAUCUGAUUUAGCAACGUCUAGAUACAAAAAAGAUUUUUUAAAACUUUGCUGGUUGUCUAGCUAAUAAUAAAUUAUAUUUAAUCAUA